AUUGAACGCUGGCGGCAUGCUUUACACAUGCAAGUCUAACGGUAACAGGGUGCUUGCACCGCUGACGAGUGGCGAACGGGUGAGUAAUGCGUCGGAACGUGCCGAGUAGUGGGGGAUAACGCUGCGAAAGUUGUGCUAAUACCGCAUACGUACUGAGGUAGAAAGUGGGGGACCUUCCGGCCCAACGCCAGUCGAGCGGCCGACGUCUGAUUAGCCAGGAGGUGAGGUAAAGGCUCACCUAGGCGACGAUCAGUAGCGGGUCUGAGAGGAGGAUCCGCCACACUGGGACUGAGACACGGCCCAGACUCCUACGGGAGGCAGCAGUGGGGAAUUUUGGACAAUGGGCGAAAGCCUGAUCCAGCCAUGCCGCGUGUCUGAAGAAGGCCUUCGGGUUGUAAAGGACUUUUGUCAGGGAGGAAAUCCCUAGUGCUAAUAACACUGGGGGAUGACAGUACCUGAAGAAUAAGCACCGGCUAACUACGUGCCAGCAGCCGCCGUAA
rnacentral:rRNA from 1 species